AGGAUAACACGCCUAGCAUGGAAGAUACUGACCGCCCCUUGUCACCACAUGAGCGGUUCAGGCAUACAAAACAGAUUAUUUCUUGAAGAUUUAGAGAGUGGCACAUGCAAAUUUACUUGGAACGACAGGUAGAUACCGCAUAUAGGUAGGUAUGGUGGACGCAUAUGGAACAACUUUGGGUUUAUGGAAGUGGAUGCACAAGCAGUAUUCCCGCUUAGUACAAGUGAAGGCU
rnacentral:lncRNA from 1 species